UUCCGGUUGAUCCUGCCGGACCUUACUGCUAUCGGGGUGGGACUAAGACAUGCGAGUCGAGCGUCUCUAGCUAUGUUGAGACGCGGCAGACGGCUCAGUAACACGUGGCUAACCUACCUUCAGGACGAGGAUAAACCCGGGAAACUGGGGCUAAUACUCGAUAGGUGAGAAUGUCUGGAAUGACUUCUCAUCCAAAGGGCCUUGGAAACAUGCUUUCAAUGUCGCCUGGAGAUGGGGCCGCGUCCGAUCAGGUUGUUGGUGAGGUAACGGCUCACCAAGCCUAUAACCGGUACGGGCCGUGAGAGCGGUAGCCCGGAGAUGGGUACUGAGACAAGGACCCAGGCCCCACGGGGCGCAGCAGUCGCGAAAACUCCGCAAUGCACGAAAGUGUGACGGGGCUACCCCGAGUGCCAUCCGCUGAGGGUGGCUUUUCUUUGGUAUAACUAGCCAUGGGAAUAAGGAGAGGGCAAGACUGGUGUCAGCCGCCGCGGUAAUACCAGCUCUCCGAGUGGUAGGGAUGAUUAUUGGGCUUAAAGCGUCCGUAGCCGGCUUAGCAAGUCUCCUGUUAAAUUCAGCGACCUAAUCGUUGACCCGCGGGAGAUACUACUAGGCUAGGAGGCGGGAGAGGUCGACGGUACUUCUGGGGUAGGGGUGAAAUCCUAUAAUCCCGGGAGGACCACCAGUGGCGAAGGCUGUCGACUAGAACGCGCUCGACGGUGAGGGACGAAAGCUGGGGGAGCGAACCGGAUUAGAUACCCGGGUAGUCCCGGCCGUAAACGAUGCGAGCUAGGUGUUGGGAUGGCUACGUGCCAUCUCAGUGCCGCAGGGAAGCCAUUAAGCUCGCCGCCUGGGGAGUACGGCCGCAAGGCUGAAACUUAAAGGAAUUGGCGGGGGAGCACCACAAGG
rnacentral:rRNA from 1 species